CGGGCAAUUUUUACCAGCGCGUAGUACUGCUGAGCUUAAGAACUCGUUUGAAAUAAGUGUUAAGUGAUAGGUUUCAAAUAAGCUUCAUUCUAUUCGAAGCUUAAAUCAGUAAAUUGUUGAGUGUUGUUUAUUUCGAUGUAGUUAGUAGUUUUUGGUAGAUUGGAGCUUAAAAAAUAUUACAAGCACGGACGAUACUUAAAUUUCCCACUGUUAAAUCUAAAAGCUGGGAUAGAUUCUUAUCAAGAUUCCACAGGUGGACAAUGCGCUGUUCGGAGGGUCGAUUUAUCCCCGAAGCAUGUACCUCGGUUCAUCCGCUUUUCUGGUCGUUGUGGAAUAUUUUUGAUUCUGGCGCAACAUCUCAGCAGGCGGGCCAGCAUC